GACAGAGGGUGCAAACGUUGUCCGGAAUCAUUGGGCGUAAAGAGCGUGUAGGCGGCUCGAUAAGUCUGCUGUGAAAGUCCAGGGCUCAACCCUGGAAGGCCGGUGGAAACUGUCGGGCUAGAGUCCGGAAGAGGCGAGUGGAAUUCCCGGUGUAGCGGUGAAAUGCGCAGAUAUCAGGAGGAACACCAGUGGCGAAGGCGACUACCUGGCCUGUUCUUGACGCUGAGGCGCGAAAGCUAGGGGAGCAAACGGG
rnacentral:rRNA from 1 species